GAAAUUACUUAUUUUACUUUAACUGUUAAAGUUUAACCAAUGAAAAAGUGACUCAAGAUUCAAAUAUAUUAGUUUCAAACGCCAUUACCAAAUUAUUGUUCAACUGCUACAAUUAAAUUAUAUUUUGAUCACUAUAAAGGCUCAGAGAAUCUAGAAUGAUGGCUACUAAAAGAAAACCAUUUGGCGAUGUACUCAAUGUGUUGAUGAAUAGGGACACUACUGGGAAGCGCCCAACAAGCUCUUAAGCUCUGUGAAUGCUAUCUUAGAAAGGGAUCAAGACCUAGAGAAACCAUUGGUCUCCAUUGCGGAGGCAUUUGAACCAGGAACUUCUGAAGUUAAUCUGGAGCUGAGUGGCAGCAAGACUGAAACUAAGAAAAAAAUAUCAAGAAAACCGAAUUUGGGAAGAUCUAGAAUUAUCUACAUUCUGAAAUGCAAGAAGUGUAGACAGAUCUACACUGGUGAGACCACAUACACUUUGGCUGAGGUCAGGUCCAGACUUAUAAGCGAAGUACAACGUGGAACAUCCCAGAGAAAGGUCGCGAUGCAUUUCCGAACUGCACCAUGUGGCGUGGAUGACAUGAAAUUUCUUGAGAAGAAACAAAUCGGACACACUGACAGGAGAAUUAACCAAAAACGAAAGAUGAUACAAAAACUCAGAAGUAAAGACAUGGGGCUUAACUCAGUAACUCCUAGAAAACGUAAAGUGGAUGUGAGAUCCAGAUCUUCAGGUAAAGACGAAAAACCAGUCGCCAACCAACAAGACAUAAGAAGUUAUUUUCAUGUUAUCAAAAGAAAGAUAAGUUCCUCAAAAGCACUGUAGGAAAUGCGCGAUUAAAAUAAAUGAUCCUAUUUCUUUACAAACUUUGAGAAUUAAAGACACUAAUUGAUCUUUCUUUGGUUAUUUUUAAUAUUUUUCUAAUUCUGUUGUUUAACUAAAAAUCACCAUUAAAUUCAAUAAAGAUGUUAAAACUUAAAA